UCGAGAGGCUUCGGCAAUGGGGGAAACCCUGACCGAGCGACGCCGCGUGGGUGAUGAAGAUCCUUGGAUCGUAAAACCCUGUCAGGUGGGAUGAACUGCCAUUUGGUUAAUACCCGAGUGGUUUGACAGUACCGCCAGAGGAAGCUCCGGCUAACUCCGUGCCAGCAGCCGCGGUAAUACGGGGGGAGCAAACGUUGUUCGGAUUCAUUGGGCGUAAAGAGCUCGUAGGCGGCUUCGUAAGUCAGAGGUGAAAGACCACGGCUCAACCGUGGAACCGCCUUUGAAACUACGAAGCUUGAGGCCCGGAGAGGAAAGCGGAAUUCCUGGAGUAGCGGUGAAAUGCGUAGAUAUCAGGAGGAACACCAGUGGCGAAGGCGGCUUUCUGGACGGGUACUGACGCUGAGGAGCGAAAGCUAGGGGAGCAAACAGGAUUAGAUACCCUGGUAGUCCUAGCCGUAAACGAUGGGCACUAGGUGUGGGGGGAUCGACCCCUCCCGUGCCGCAGUUAACGCAUUAAGUGCCCCGCCUGGGGAGUACGACCGCAAGGUUG
rnacentral:rRNA from 1 species